rnacentral:rRNA from 1 species
UACGUAGGGGGCGAGCGUUGUCCGAAGUUACUGGGCGUAAAGCGCGCGUAGGCGGGUCGUUAAGUGGGAAGUGAAAGGCUGGGGCUCAACCCCAUGCAGUGCUUCUCAUACUGGCGGUCUUGAGUGAGGUAGGGAGAAGUGGGAUGGCUGGUGUAGCGGUGAAAUGCGUAGAUAUCAUUUGGAACGCCAAUGGUGAAAACAGGUAGCUGGGGCUGUGCUGACGCUGAGACACGAAAGCCAGGGGAGCGAACGGG